CUACGGGGGGCAGCAGUGGGGAAUAUUGCACAAUGGGGGAAACCCUGAUGCAGCAACGCCGCGUGGAGGAUGACGCAUUUCGGUGUGUAAACUCCUUUUAUAUCCCAAGAUAAUGACGGUAGGAUAUGAAUAAGCACCGGCUAACUCCGUGCCAGCAGCCGCGGUAAUACGGAGGGUGCAAGCGUUACUCGGAAUCACUGGGCGUAAAGGGCGCGUAGGCGGGUUGUCAAGUCUUGAGUGAAAUCCAACGGCUCAACCGUUGAACUGCUUGAGAAACUGGCAGCCUAGAGUGAGGGAGAGGUAGAUGGAAUUGGUGGUGUAGGGGUAAAAUCCGUAGAGAUCACCAGGAAUACCCAUUGCGAAGGCGAUCUGCUGGAACUCUACUGACGCUGAGGCGCGAAAGCGUGGGGAGCAAACAGGAUUAGAUACCCGCGUAGUC
rnacentral:rRNA from 1 species